ACAGCAUUAAACCAAGUAUACAAUGUCAAAUAAAACAAUUCUCUAAUCUCCUCUGUUGUCCAUGUUUUAUCAUCAAAAUAAUGACUGUUUCUUUCUUUCCAUACACACCAUAUAAUGCAACCCCGAAUAAGAUUCCAUACAAGUUUGCUAUCCUUCUCGCGAAACUUUCUCCUCCGUACCUUUUAACACGUCUUCCAUAAGCCUUGACAAUACCGAAUCCAUGUGUUGAGACGCCAGAAUAUCGUUCCACAACAAACGAGUAGCAUCACAGUGAAGGAACAAGUGAUAAAUCGUCUCUCCAUCCCUCCUACAUAUAUAGCACACUCUGUAACAUAAAAACCCCUUGUUCGGAAAUUAUCCGCAAAUAACACUUAUCCCCUGACAACCGUCCAUGGUAAAAAAUGCCACCCUUGAAGGCAGUUUACAUUUUCAUACCAUCUUCCAAGAGAAUGAACUUUUAGUGGGUCCCAAUAAGGACCUAAAAUACGUGCCAACUGAGAAGAUGCCAUCCCGUGUCAACCUCUAUCUGCUACAAUCACCCUUUCCUACCCUCACAUCAUACAAAAAUGUAAGUAGCAAAGCAUAACCAUCCACUUCCCAGUCCAGCAGACCCCACCGAAAGACAAUGUUCCAACAGAGAUUUCCAUUACGUAUAUUUUGUAUUUGUUUUUCAAAGUAAGGAAAUAUAAUUCUACGGCAAUUUCCUCUUAUUUUCUAGUGCUGCAUUUGUUAACCUUGUCCAUUAGUUGGUAGCUCAGCAUUAUGCAUUACAUGCAUUUUAGUCUAUUGAUUACUAGUCAUGAAUUAUUUGAGCUUGGGAAAGAUAAAAACAGUGGGACUCUUAUGGUCACCAGGUGGUCAAUGAAAGGGAUGUUGGCUCUAAUCAGUGAAUGUAUCAAGUACCAAGAGCUUAUGAUAGUGACAAACUGAAAGUUACGAUCGAUAAAACAUAUGAUUAAUAAGUUGACAUUUUAAGGGACACGACAGCACAAGUAUAACAAUUUAGUAAGGGAGACGUGAAUUACUAUAUGCAUGUGAAUAUCAUGUUGAGCACUCGUUGAACAAUAAUGAUUGCUUGGAGGGCCCAAAGAGAGUCAGUUAAGACAUUCAUAACAUGGCAUGCACCAUACAUGCAAACAUAAUAAGCAUACUGCUCACUACACAUAGUUGUUCAUGACCUAUAUGCUUAGGUAAUCAUGGUCCUUUUAUUGUUAAAAAAAAAAAAGAAAAAAGAAAAGGCAGUAGGAGCACUCGACUGAUCGCAACAAACUGCACUGACUUACCACUAGUGUGUGGUCAUACUUUGAUACUCCCCAGCCUAUACAGUGUAUACCAUGGACUCUAGAAAUGAGUUUCAUUUGCAAGAAUAAGUAUGAUUCUCAUACUUUUAAGGGUACAUAGAUUAUGAGAUCAAUAUAUCUAUUUGUAAUGGGGUAAGCCUUUUGUAGGUUGAUCUAGGCUCCAAACAUGUACCCUCAUUUGAAUAUUUUGUCAAGGCCUUCAUACCUUAAGGUCAACCCUUUAUUUGGUAGUACACUAUGCAACCCUAGUUUUUAUUGAAAAUAAGUCUGAGAACCUCAUAACAUCUAAAUCAAAGUGCAUUUAUA
rnacentral:lncRNA from 1 species